CCCACUCCGUCCCUGGGCCCCCACACCAUCCCGGGCCCCUGGGCGGUCCCUGGGGUCCCACGUGUUCCUGGGCCCCCGCUCCGCCACUGGGCUUCUAUGCCGUCCCAGGCCCCCAUGGCAUCCUGGGCCCCCAUGGCAUCCUGGGCCCCCACUCCGUCUCUGGGCUCCUACGCCGUCCCCGGGAUCCCUCCUGUGCAGGUCUGGACACGUGAGUGCCUCCCCCGCCCCUCAAAGCUCCGUUUCGGGGCCUGGACCUGCACUUCCUGAAUGUCAUAGAAAUGGAAUCGUACAGUAUGUAGCCUCUCUGGUCUGGCUUCCUUCACUCAGCAUUUUGAGAUUCAUCCACAUUCGUGUCCACUGCUGACCAGUAUUCCAUGGAAUGGGUGAACCACACUUUGUUUAUUAGUCAUCAAUUGAAGGACAUGGGGGUGGUUUCCUGUUUGGGGCAAUUGUGAAUGAAACUGCUGUAAACAUUCACUUUUAGGCUUUUGUGUGAAUAUAAGUUUUCAUUUCGGUUGGGUAAAUAAAGACUUAGGAGUGGGACUUCUGGGUCAUAUGGUAGGUGUAUGUUUAAUUUUAUAAGAAAUUGCCAAAUUGUUUUCCAGAGAAAGCUGUACCAUUUUGCACUCCCACAGCAGUGUGUGAGGUCCAGCUGCUCCUCAUCGCCCUCAGCACUUGUAUUGUCAGGUUUUCUUAAGUAAUUCUAAUAGGCGUGUAGUGGUAUCCCAUACAGUUUUAAAUUGCAUUUCCCUAGUGACUAAUGAUGUGGAGAAUCUAUUCAUGUGCUUAUUUGCCAUAUAUUCAUAUACCUUCUUUGGUGAAGUGUCUGUUCAAAUCUUUUGCCCACUUGGUAAAUUGGGUUGUUUGUUUUAUUGUUGAAUGAGUAUUCCUUUUAUGUUCUUGAUAAAAGUCUUUCGUGAGA